UACGAAGGGGCUAGCGUUGCUCGGAAUUACUGGGCGUAAAGCGCACGUAGGCGGCUUUCUAAGUCGGGGGUGAAAUCCUGGAGCUCAACUCCAGACUGCCUUCGAUACUGGAGAGCUCGAGUCCGGGAGAGGUGAGUGGAACUGCGAGUGUAGAGGUGAAAUUCGUAGAUAUUCGCAAGAACACCAGUGGCGAAGGCGGCUCACUGGCCCGGUACUGACGCUGAGGCACGAAAGCGUGGGGAGCAA
rnacentral:rRNA from 1 species